UUGAUUAUUUGCUUGUUUUUAGUUUCUUUUUUUUAAAAAUUUGGGGAGGUAGAAGACCUUUCUACCCCUAAAGUAUUGUCACCAUUGUCCUACUAAAAUUAAUGGAGGGCUUUUGGUCACACAAAGCUUAUUUUGUUCCUUGUAUCAUUUUCUAACUGUUCAGAAGCAGCGGAAGUACUGUGUUAGCAAAAUUAAUUGAGGAAUCACUCACACCUUAUGUAUUCUUCCUGCUCCUUAUCACUCUUAACAAGGGAAGAAUUGGUAGUUUUUUGUAUGUGAGGAAGAAAAAUCCAUAUUUUUUCUUCUCUGCAAAUAGGAGAAUUUCAUUUUUUCUUUACUUAGGUAUGUGGUGCCAUGUUAAACACUAAUAAUGUACCAAUAGAAGAAAAAAAUAAUUAUAUUUGACAAUGAGAAAUAUUGUAUGAUAUUAAUUGACUGAUUUCAGAUUAUUCUGUACCUAAUAUAAAACUAAAACAAAAACUGAAGUCUUAGGUAGUUAGUUUUGAGAAUUCAGUCUUUUCAGUACUAUUUUAUUAAGAGUCCUGAUAAAUAAUAUAACAUUGUUUCAGUGUCAGUUGUUGAACUAUAAUCUUCCAAAAAAGAAUUC
rnacentral:lncRNA from 1 species